rnacentral:tRNA from 1 species
GCACUGAUGGGCUAGUAGUUAAGGCUUGGCCUUCUCAAUGCCAUAGCCUGUGUUCAUUUCCCAGUCAGAGUA